UAAGUUAUCGCGAGAGCAGAGGCCUCGGGUGCGGGAUGGCCGCAGAGCCGGGCGUAUCUGGCUGGCUGCUCCCGGGUCCAGCUCCCCGGCCUAAGAUAUGGCCCGGGGCCCCGGCCCGUUAGGCCAGCCUCGCUCUAACACGGUCGCCAUGCCCAAGAGGGGGAAGCGACUCAAGUUUCGGGCCCACGACGCCUGCUCUGGUCGAGUGACCGUGGCGGAUUAUGCCAACUCCGAUCCGGCCGUCGUGAAGUCUGGACGGGUCAAGAAAGCCGUCGCCAAUGCUGUUCAGCAGGAAGUAAAAUCUCUUUGUGGCUUGGAAGCCUCCCAGGUUCCUGCAGAGGAAGCUCUCUCUGGGGCUGGUGAACCCUGUGACAUCAUCGACAGCAGUGACGAGGUGGACGCCCAAGAGGAGAGCAUUUAUGAGAGAACUGUCUCCAGAAAAAAGAAAAGCAAGAGGCACAAAGAAGACCUGGACAGGGCUGGAGGAGAAGAGUAUCCCAUGGAUAUUUGGCUCUUGCUGGCCUCAUACAUCCGUCCUGAGGACAUUGUGAAUUUUUCCCUGAUUUGUAAGAAUGCGUGGACUGUCACUUGCACUGCUGCCUUUUGGACCAGGUUGUACCGAAGGUGCGACCACAGAGAGCUCACUGUGUUAUCUGUGUAGCUGAUUUCAUUGCUGUUUGUGAUUUGGAGCUACUCCCUGGAUGGUGACCUUUUCAAUUUCUCUGCUCUUUGCCUGGGUGUGAGCCUAGCAUUGGAUUCCUUGAGUCCCUCUAAUUUAAAUUUGAUAUUAUUAAUUCAUCCAGGCACUACACGCUGGAUGCCUCUCUGCCUUUGCGCCUGCGACCAGAGUCAAUGGAGAAGUUGCGCUGUCUCCGGGCAUGUGUGAUCCGAUCUCUGUACCAUAUGUAUGAGCCAUUUGCUGCUCGAAUCUCCAAGAAUCCAGCCAUUCCAGAAAGCACUCCCAGCACACUAAAGAAUUCCAAAUAGCAUAGCUUGUUUGGGACACUGGAGCCGUUGUGAUGGCAGCAGAAGUGUUUGCCCCUUAAAGCCAAGCCCAUUAUUUUUGAUGGAACAGCAGGACGUACAGGGCAUGUCUGAAGGGCAGGACAGCUGGCACGGCGGACGACCCACCCCUUAUCCCCUGGGAGUGCUUACUUUUCUGGUGCAGAAAGAUUGUUGGGAAUAGACAGGAACCAAUGUGGGAAUUCAACUUCAAGUUCAAAAAACAGCCCCCUAGGUUAAAGAGCAAGUGUAUGGGAGGGUUGCAGCCGCCCAUUCAAUACGAAGAUGUUCAUACCAACCCAGACCAGGACUGCUGCCUACUGCAGGUCACCACCCUCAAUUUCAUCUUUAUUCCAAUUGUCAUGGGAAUGAUCUUUACCCUGUUUACUAUCAGCGUGAGCACGGACAUGCGGCACCAUCGAGUGAGACUGGUGUUCCAGGAUUCUCCUAUCCAUGGUGGUCGGAAACUGCGCAGUGAACAGGGCGUGCAAGUCAUCCUUGACCCAGUGCACAGUGUUCGGCUCUUUGACUGGUGGCACCCUCAGUAUCCGUUCUCCCUGAGAGCCUAGUUACUACUUCCCAUCCCUGGGGGCUGCCCUGAGCUAGGCCAGUCCAUUAGGAAGCAGAUUCCAGUUUGGCAGCUGGAUUGUGUAUCUGGUUAGUGAUGCACAUGCUCUUCAGGUUCCAGGGACUUCUGUUAGUGGAGGGAGACCGGCUGAAUCAAGAGGAAAACCAACUAUGAUUUAUAAACAUAUUUUCAUGUAAAAUUUGCAUUUGAAAGGAGAUACCUGGCCCUAUUUUCUGCGUUAAAACCCCAUUUGGUGCUAUUGAGUUUGUUGUUCUUUAUUCUUUUAUCCCAGUGAAAAUGGAUGGUCUUGCUCUAGGGAAAAAUUAAUUCAUGACUCUCCAAACAAGGAAGUUUCAGUAUUCCCUUACGGAUCGAGGAACUUGUGCUACUGUUGCUUCCAAUUUAGCUGCCCCUCAAAUCCAAGUGAAUACUUUCUCUUCUCUCUGUACCCUUCUCCAGAAAUAAAGUAGGUGACAGGGUUUUCAGAAUCUUACAAGAUUGACUUUUGUGUCUUUUUCUUUUUUUAAUAAUAAUUUUUGGAUAUUUAUGUGUAAAUGUUCUUUUGGCUAUUUUGAAUUUUAGAUAUUUUUUUGCAUGAGGUUGAUAGUGGUGAUGAUAGUGACUUUGUGCCCUUGGUACUUUGCCAGGAACUUUACUUAGUAUCUCUAAUUCUUAAAACCCUGCAAGGUAGGUGAUACUGUUCUAUUUUAUGGGUGAGGAAACAGAACCAGUGACUUACCCAAGGCCAUACAGCCAGUAAAUGGCAGAGCCAAUAAUUCUGAGCCAGGUCUGUGUGUGCUCCUUUUGCUGUACCACAAUGAAAAAGAUCAGUCUCGUUUUUCUUGUGACAGAUGGUGGUAAAAGGGAGGAGGCAGCGUAGAUUAAAAAAAGUAAAAGGGUAAGUAAAAAUGUGAUUAUAAUAUACCUUAUCCCUGUUCAGCCUAAGAGGUAUAUAUAAGAUUGAUGAAGGAAUCUUUUAAAUAAUGUGUUUCUUUUUAAUUAAAAUGUAAAAUAAACCAAGAAAGGAUACUGUCCUUACUGCAGGAACGAUAGUAGUAGCAUUUUCAUUCACUUGUUAGAAGGGCAUUUGUGAGGCUGAAGGUCAUUUUAAAAAAUGCGUCUCAUGGAGGAACUAGCCUCCUGAACCAUAAGCAAUUAGUGACCGUCCUUUGCUCUGCACUGCACUGUGCUGCCUCUCCUACCAUCCUGUGUGUCCACAGGAGCCUGGCCUCUUGUCCCUGCAGAAAUGCUGACAUCCUCUGUUUGGUCAGAGGACUUAACUGUAGUUGGUGUACUCUGAGAAGGUGGUCACGGGUGGAGUUUUUUUUUUUUUUUUGCUAAAAAGAUAACCUUGCUGCUUGCCCCCCCCCCCCCCCCCGAUUGACCACUGGGCUGG